UGAUCCAGCCAUGCCGCGUGUGUGAAGAAGGCUUUCGGGUUGUAAAGCACUUUCAGCGAGGAAGAAAGCCUCUGGGUUAAUACCCCAGAGGAAGGACAUCACUCGCAGAAGAAGCACCGGCUAACUCCGUGCCAGCAGCCGCGGUAAU
rnacentral:rRNA from 1 species